GCCAGGUGUGGUGGUGUACACCUGUAAUCCCAGCAGCUCAGGAGGCAGAGGCAGGAGGAUGGCAAUGCAAGUUCGAAGCCAGCCUCAG
rnacentral:sRNA from 1 species